GUAGGUGAACCUGCGGAAGGAUCAUUAACAUGUGAGGCCACGGGGGCAGGCUCUCCGCAAGGACAGUUAUUUGGAUAUUCGGUUCCAUUAGCUGGGGUGGACUGGAGAACACUGUCGGCGAUACACUGCUGACCUCUGUUUGACCUCCACUAUCGAGCUGCCGCCUGAACCAUACCCUUGCUUUUUGCGCACCUAUUGUUUCCUCGGCAGGCUUGCCUGCCAGUAGGACCCUAUUUAACCCUUUGUAAUUGCAGUCAGCGUCAGAAACAACGUAAUCGUUACAACUUUCAACAACGGAUCUCUUGGUUCUG
rnacentral:misc_RNA from 1 species